AGAGUCGGCCAGGCGGCCGCGUCACCCGGUCCCCGGGUGCCGAGGAACGUCCGGGCUCCGCAGGGCAGGGUGGUGGGUAACGCCCACCCGGGGUGACCCGCGGGACAGUGCCACAGAAAGCAGACCGCCCCCGCACUCGUGCGGGGGUAAGGGUGAAACGGUGGGGUAAGAGCCCACCAGCGCCACGGGUGACCGUGGCGGCUCGGCAAACCCCACCUGGAGCAAGACCAGACAGCAGGCGUUCGAGGGCGGCCCGUCCGAAGCCUGCGGGUAGGUCGCUGGAGGCGUGCGGCAACGUACGUCGUAGAUGGAUGGUCGCCACCGGCGGGAGACCGCCGGGACAGAACCCGGCGUAUCGGCCGACUCUUCCG
rnacentral:RNase_P_RNA from 2 species